GAGUUGGGGGAGAGGACCAGAACCACCUGCUGGAGAAGGGGAGCUACGGGGGCCGGGCAGGGUCCAAACGCCUCACGUAGGCGGCGGCGCCACGGUCUUCGGGGUCACAGGGAAGAGAAGGGCUCUCCUCAAGCGGGUGGAAGGAGGGAGGCCUCCCGAGGGAGUGAGACUCUAGGCCACUCCCCCGCAGCAAGGCAGGAUCACCUGCGACGCGGAGAGCGGUUAGAGGGCCCUGGAGUGGAAAAGGGCAGUGGGACCUGGUAGCUUGGGUUCCCUGCAACUUGGGGUUCGACCUCCAGGCAAUGAAGUAGGGAUGGUCCUGCAAGUCAAGAUUCCAGUAGCAAGAGUGCAUCAGAUCUCUGUAAGGAAAAUAACUAACAUUGCUCAGUUCCCUGUAGAGUUGCAGGGCGCUUUAACGUUAUCUCCCUUGGUUCUCCAUCAGGUCGUAGUGGACUAAUUUUACAGGCGAAGUUAAGUGACUUACCCAAAACCUCACAGCUAAUAAACGGCAGAGCCGGCACCCAGCUGUACUGGCUUCCAAUUCUGUUAGCUUACCAGCGCAUCACAUUAUCUCCAUAAAUCCCCAUGAUUCAACUAAUAUUAGACGCCCCACAGGUAAGAUGCUUCAGAGUUAGAGGGGAGUUGAAGAUACCUUUGCCUUCAAAGAAGUAAGGAAUAAAACAAAGAUAAAACAGACAAUAAAAGACAAACCAUGAUAGGUGCCACGUGAAAAGUGGCAGAGUACUGCCGGGAAUCAAAGAACCGUGUAUAUCUGUCUUGGGGAUAAGGAAAGAAAGGCAGCAUGAAGGAGUAGGCAUUUGGGAUUGACCUUGAAGGAGACAGGGAGAGUUUUACAGCAAGCAGGGAUAGCAUGAGAAUAUAUAUGAAGGCGAAUCAGUGAAAGUUGUGUUGGGGAAAGAGCAAAGACUCCAGGGUAUGUUGAGAGGUAGAAAAGACAAAGGAGUAUGGGGCCUAAGAUACCAAAUGGAUGAAUUUAUAUUUAAUUCAGUAUUUUGAGUUUUUAUGGUUCAGAAGUUUGGGGGAAGAAAAGGAAGGUUUUUUUUUUUCUUUGUGCUAGUGAUUUAUCUGUGAGGGGAAGCAGAAAUCAGAGGUGGAAAAACGGACAGAUCUACUGUAGGCCAGGUAAAAAUGAUGAGUCUGACCUAAAGGGACAGCUAGGGGAAUUUAAAAGAGCAUAGUUGAGAGAUGAUGUGCAUGCAGUAUCUAUAGAAUUUGGCAACUGAUUGAUUAAUUGUGGGUAGGAAGAGAGAAAUCAAAGAAAGUGGAGGUUUUGAGUUUGUAGAUAAUUGCAAGAGAGAAAAGAGACAAUUACAAAGGAGAGGGAGCUACUUCUUGAGAGAUCAGUUUAGAUUUGGACAUUUUAAGAAUUCAAAGGGUUGUCAAGACAGCCAGAGAGACAUGGACACUAAUAAGUUAGAAAUAAAGGUUUUGUAAUAUGGGAAAGAGGACUGAACUAGAAAAUAGACUCAUAAAUAAUCAGCCUAGGAGUGAUAUUGCUGUGAGAUAAAAGAAGAAAACAAAGGUCAGAAUCUUGGAAAACACCCUCUUUAGAGUCUCGCUACUCAAAACGUGGUCAGUGGCCCAGCAGCACUGACAUGAGGAUGUUAGUUAGAAACUCAGAAUCUCAGGCUCCACCCCAGACCUGCUGAACCAGCAUCUUCAACUUAACAAGAACCCGAAGAGAUUUGUGUCACAUCAAAAAGUUUGAGAAGCUCUGAUCUAGGGCUGGAAGGAGUGUUGCUCAACAAUAUCCAAAACCACAGAGGUUGAAAAGCACAAGGAAAGAAGCUGGACCCUGGACACGGUGACUCUGAUUCAAUUAUGCAGAUGACCACAAACCUCUGGGGUUGGCAGAGCCACAAGAAAGAAGGUGCCUGGAUGAAGGAGAGCUACCCACUGACCUGGACACCCAAUUAUAGGAUAGACAGUGAAGUGCAACUACAGCCCGCAAAUGAAAAUGAAUAAUAUUAAUCCAGCCCCUCAAGGCAGGCGAGUAGCUGCUGUCAUCUGUCUUAGAGCUAUUGGAAUCCUGGAUCAUUGUGGGAAAUGAAAGGAACUGGUUUUUAGCAAGGAGACCAAGAAACUCUACUCCCUAGGGGCUAGCAAUGAGAGAAAGGAAGCCUUAAGUCUUUGAGCACAGGGUGACAGUUUGGGUCCUAUGUGAGAUGAUCAAAUCCACAGCAACAGAGGAAAGGACAAAAGGAAAAGAUACUUCGAUGGAAUCAGCAGCCAUUGAUCCAAUGCCAACUCCAAGACUGGAACGUCGCAAUGAUAGUUCCAAGGCGGAAAUUUGACGUAAUUCUUUUCGACACAGUUUUACAGGCAUCUUGCAUGUGAAUAACUCACAACUUUAAUUCAUGGAACAAAUUGAGAAAUAGUCUUUUGGGGGUUUGGUACUCCCUGGAAACAUAAGAGUGCUUUGGGCACCUCUGGUGCCUUUCCAUGCCUGCCUUCUCUGCUGUUCUUGCUACUAGUGAAUUCUAAAUCAUGGCCAAGUGAUGCCAGCACUGGAUAAUAUUGGCUCUGCCCCAUAUCUCGAGGGAAAACUCUAGGACUUGGCAUUAUAUGUGUGGGAAUCUGGCCUUGGUUGGCACUCCCAGCAUGAUAGCGGGGUUCUCCUGUCUGAAUGUACUCUGGGGUGUGCGCCACAAUUUCUGUCAUCGAAAUGGAGAUGAGAGAAUAUGCCCUUGGUGGGGACACCCCACUGGAAUUAGAGUGAAGAGAUCAAAGCUAGAGGUUCUUAAAUCAAAGAAUAUCUAAUAGCAAAGACAAAAACUUGCUUAAGGGAAAUGCAUACAAGUACUAGACCUAAUAUGAUGAAAAAUGCCAACUUCAAUAUAUUGAUGCAUGCUUAGUACACUUUCAGUCCUGCAAAGACAAAGUUUUUUGUUGUUUUUUUUUUGAGACGGAGUCUCGCUCUGUCGCCCAGGUUGGAGUGC
rnacentral:lncRNA from 1 species